rnacentral:lncRNA from 1 species
UUGCCUGGGCUCACAGCUGGUGUGGGUGCUGGGAAGCACAUGGAGACUUGUCCACCUCUUUGACACCUCGGCUCUGCGCUGUCAGGGCAAGAGGCCGGCCAGCGGACCUGGGUUGCCCCUUUCCCAGUCUUACGCUAUCGCGUUUUAUCACUUGGAACAGUCUGACUUACUUUUUGUCUUCCUCCAUGAGGAUUUGGUUCCGUUAAAGCUACUUUGUGUUGCGGGAGGCAGUGGAGUAUCAUUGUAAGCUUUUAAGCUCGAUCCUGUCAACAUUUUAGAAGGGUCAUUCUGCCUGUGAAAUGGGGAGAGGCUUUGAAGGGCAGGGAAGGAGACUGGUUAGGAGGCUGCCAUGGUAGGAGAGUGGGGUGAGCUGGCUUCAGACACAGGGUGCGCCGAGAGGCUGAUGAGCUUGAGAUAUAAGUGGGGAGAACCCGAAGGCUCUGUGUUGAACUGGAUGUUGGGGAGAGGGCUGGAGACUGUGUGCAGGGCCGUCCAGAUCUCUCUCUCUCAGGCACAGGGAAGAUGGCCGUGCUUUUCAAGGAGAAAGGAACACGGGGAAGAGGUGACAUUUGGAUCCAGAAUCGGGAAAAUGCCCAGUGGGAGGUGAGACAAAACAGUCUAGGGUUCAGAAGAGGCAGAACUGUUUCUUCCGAGGUGUUGGAGAGCCAGUGAGGGAUCCAGGAGAGAAGGGAUACCUGCUAGUUUCUCAUGGGGAGCUCUGCAUGCCAACCACGUGGAGCGGAGUGAAGGAGAGAAAAUCCGACAGGGAAAUUGGUGAGGAUUUCUUUUUUUUUUUUUUUCAAAGUAAUUCAGGUGAGAGAAUUUCAAAUGUUAGAAUCCAGAAGUUUGUAGAAGGGACAGAUUAAAAAUAUGUGUAGGGGAUCUUGUUGGGUUGUAAGUAGUUGUUGGAGACUUCAGUCAUCCUCCCAGGCUUAUGCCUCCAGGGUCCCCCGACAGGGGAGAACGGAGGAGAGCAGCAGUGUUGGGGGAGAUGGGAAAGAAGGUGCGGAUUUGUUUGUAGCGAUGGGAAGCGUCCCUUGGGUUGGAGGUUCGAGAUGCAUACAGAUCGAAGAGUGAGUUUCAGAGUUGUCUAGGUAGGCAUGUGCACAAAGCCUUGGGAUGGAUGAGAUCUCCUCCAAAGAACACAGGGGGAAGUACAGGACUUGGAGGACAAGGGGGGAAGAACUGGAGCAGUUUGAG